GCCUGGGUGGCUCAGUCGGUUAAGCGUCUGACUUCAGCUCAGGUCAUGAUCUCACACUUGUGAGUUCAAGCCCCGUGUCAGGCU
rfam:Felis catus isolate Cinnamon breed Abyssinian chromosome B1, whole genome shotgun sequence.